GAUGAAGAACGUAGUGAAAUGCGAUACGUAAUGUGAAUUGCAGAAUUCAGUGAAUCAUCGAAUCUUUGAACGCAUAUUGCGCUCUCUGGUAUUCCGGAGAGCAUGCUUGUUUGAGUAUCAGUAAACACCUCAACUUCCAUAUCUUUUUUGAAAUGGGAGUUGGACUUGAGUGAUCCCAACGCUUUUCCUCACCGAAAAGUGGCGGGUUACUUGAAAUGCAGGUACAGCUGGACUUUUCUCUGAGCUAUAAGCAUAUCUAUUUAGUCUGCCUAAAAAACAGAUUAUUACCUUUGCUGCAGCUAACAUAAAGGAGAUUAGUUCUUGUGCUGACUGAUGCAGGAUUCACAAAGACAGGCUUCGGCCGACUUUGUAAACUCGAUCUCAAAUCAAGUAAGACUACCCGCUGAACUUAAGCAUAUCAAUAAGCGGAGGA
rnacentral:misc_RNA from 1 species